UCUUCCCUCUGGCGGCGUGCCUAAUACAUGCAAGUCGAGCGAACAGAUGAGGAGCUUGCUCCUCUGACGUUAGCGGCGGACGGGUGAGUAACACGUGGAUAACCUACCUAUAAGACUGGGAUAACUUCGGGAAACCGGAGCUAAUACCGGAUAAUAUAUUGAACCGCAUGGUUCAAUAGUGAAAGACGGUUUUGCUGUCACUUAUAGAUGGAUCCGCGCCGCAUUAGCUAGUUGGUAAGGUAACGGCUUACCAAGGCAACGAUGCGUAGCCGACCUGAGAGGGUGAUCGGCCACACUGGAACUGAGACACGGUCCAGACUCCUACGGGAGGCAGCAGUAGGGAAUCUUCCGCAAUGGGCGAAAGCCUGACGGAGCAACGCCGCGUGAGUGAUGAAGGUCUUCGGAUCGUAAAACUCUGUUAUUAGGGAAGAACAAAUGUGUAAGUAACUAUGCACGUCUUGACGGUACCUAAUCAGAAAGCCACGGCUAACUACGUG
rnacentral:rRNA from 1 species